AUACGGAGGAUGCAAGCGUUAUCCGGAUUUAUUGGGUUUAAAGGGUGCGUAGGCGGAGGAGUAAGUCAGGGGUGAAAUGCCGCAGCUCAACUGCGGAACUGCCUUUGAUACUGCUUUUCUGGAGUUCGGAAGCCGUGGGAGGAAUGGUCAGUGUAGCGGUGAAAUGCAUAGAUAUUGCCCAGAACACCGAUUGCGAAGCCAUCUCACGAAUCCGAGACUGACGCUGAGGCACGAAAGCGUGGGGAUCAAACAGGAUUAGAUACCCUGGUAGUCCACGCUGUAAACGAUGAAGACUAAGUGUUAGAAAAAUCCAGUGCUGAAGUUAACGCAUUAAGUACCCCGCCUGGGGAGUACGGCCGCAAGGUUGAAACUCAAAUGAAUUGGCGGGG
rnacentral:rRNA from 1 species